GAGUUUGAUCUUGGCUCAGAUUGAACGCUGGCGGCAUGCCUUACACAUGCAAGUCGAACGGUAACAGGUCUUCGGAUGCUGACGAGUGGCGAACGGGUGAGUAAUACAUCGGAACGUGCCCGAUCGUGGGGGAUAACGAAGCGAAAGCUUUGCUAAUACCGCAUAAGAUCUACGGAUGAAAGCAGGGACCGCAAGGCCUUGCGCGAACGGAGCGGCCGAUGGCAGAUUAGGUAGUUGGUGGGAUAAAAGCUUACCAAGCCGACGAUCUGUAGCUGGUCUGAGAGGACGACCAGCCACACUGGGACUGAGACACGGCCCAGACUCCUACGGGAGGCAGCAGUGGGGAAUUUUGGACAAUGGGCGAAAGCCUGAUCCAGCCAUGCCGCGUGCAGGAUGAAGGCCUUCGGUUGUAAC
rnacentral:rRNA from 1 species